rnacentral:rRNA from 1 species
GACGAACGCUGGCGGCGUGCUUAACACAUGCAAGUCGAACGGAAAGGGCCUGCUUUUGUGGGGUGCCCGAGUGGCGAAGGGGUGAGUAACACGUGAGUAACCUGCCCUUGACUUGGGGAUAACUUCAGGAAACUGGGGCUAAUACCUGAUAGGAGCUCCUGCUGCAUGGUGGGGUUUGGAAAGUUUCGGCGGUGGUGGAUGGACUCGCGGCUUACUAGCUUGUUGGUUGGGUAGUGGCUUACCAAGGCUUCGAUGGGUAGCCGGCCUGAGAGGGUGACCGGCCACAUUGGGACUAAGAUACGCAGCAGACUCCAACGGGAGGCAGCGGUGGGGAGUAUUACACAAUGGGCCGAAGCCUGAUGAAGAAACGCCGCGUGCGGGAUGCCGGCCUUCGGGUUGUAAACCGCAUUAGCUUGUGACGAAGCGUGAGUGACGGUAAUGGCUAAAGAAGCACCGGCUAACUACGUG